UAGCUCAGCUGGGAGAGCACCUGCCUUACAAGCAGGGGGUCGGCGGUUCGAUCCCGU
rnacentral:tRNA from 1 species